rnacentral:lncRNA from 1 species
CCAUCACUGCUGGUGGAGCGCACCCGAGACGAAUGGACCCCUUCCCCAUUGGAUGGCUGCUGCUUUUUUUCUGCUCCGUUGAAACUCCCCAUCAGUUAAGGCAGAUGUGCAAAUGGACCAAAUCCAGGGCACGAGGCCGCGUCUGCCAUUUUCUACAGCAAUGCCAGUGCUGGAGCCUGGGAGAUGUUUCCCGGUCUCGCUCUGACCCUGAGACGAGGAGGAGGAACAUCUGGAGGGCUAGUCCAAGUUAGAAAGAGUCUCUGGAAGCAGCUUGGACUGGGGUGGUCAGACCUGGACCCAUGUGCUUGUUUCUCCAGACGUAGAAAUUCUGGCUUCCCCGAGGAGGAAGUUGCUGCAGCUGUACCUUCAGUGGCACAUACUUAUAUGGUGAGCAUAUAGACAUGCCAUGAGGGAGAGAGCUUGGAGGAUGCAUCUGAAUGGCACAGGCUUUGCCUACAGAUGGUGCUUUACGUUCGUCAUGGAUUUUUUCCCUUAUAAGGGAUGGUCAUAUUUAAAGAGAGAGCAUAACUGAGUCUCUCCCGCAGCCUGGUCUUGCUGGCCACUUGGGAUUGAGGGUUUUUCCUCUUUUUCCCCUCCCACUGUGUUCCUCAGUUAUUCUUCUGUGACCAUCUAACACUGCAGGUUAUUUAUCAAAUAGCCAGUAAUGGCCAAACAGAGGCCCAUUACAACCAGCAUUUGCAACGUUUUGUGAGCAAUAAAUACGCUGCGGUUAGUAAAUAUGUUGUCACUGGGUAGCGUUACAUGGAAACAUGACCUUCAGUACUUGCCAGCAUUUCAAAAUGGAUUUUAAAAAUUAAAAAACUAACUUUCACCUGAAAGAGUUGAGGUGGCUUUUCUGAGCUCAUUUUGGGUUUUCCUACACCUUUGUUUCAGGAUUAGAUCAAAGUUCAACUCUAAAUUUGCAUCAGGAUCUAGAACUGAGACUUGGUGUGACACAGCAGACUGAUGACUAGAAGUAGAAACGUGGAAGAAAACUUGAAACUCAAACUUUCUUCCAGUGUACAGUAUGCAUAUGGAUUUGUCCUUUCUUUAAUGGCUUGCUUUGUCGUUGUUCUGCCCCGAUUUGGUUUAUUUGUGCUGUACGCCAUCCAUAAAGUCAUCUCUGGAACUUAUAAGUACUUUCGCAAAGACAACAGUGGGAAGGCAGUUGCAUAUCGUAUUAUUUUUGGCUGGAUCCUCCAGGAACAAUGGCCAUUGUUUGGCAGCGAACAACAAGGAGGCUGCUUUAGCCAUGGAACGGUUUGGAGCCUGGGGGCUGUUCCUCAAAGGGUUGGGAGCCAUUCGAAGGUAUGUGUGAUUCAAGGUCAAAACUAUUUGGAAACAGCUGUUUUAAAAGAAAAAAAAAAAAAAAAAA